rnacentral:pre_miRNA from 1 species
CUAGUACUCCCCCCGUCCCAAAAUUCUUGUCUUAAAUUUGUUUAGAUAUGAAUGUAUCUAGUCAAGUUUUAGUAUUUGGAUACAUCCAUUUCUAAACAAAACUAAGACAAGAAUUUUGGGAUGGAGAGGGAAGAAG